rnacentral:rRNA from 1 species
CACUAUCGUUAACUGAAUACAUAGGUUAACGAGGCGAACCGGGGGAACUGAAACAUCUAAGUACCCCGAGGAAAAGAAAUCAACCGAGAUUCCCCCAGUAGCGGCGAGCGAACGGGGAGCAGCCCAGAGUCUGAAUCAGCUUGUGUGUUAGUGGAACGGUCUGGAAAGUCCGACGGUACAGGGUGAUAGUCCCGUACACCAAAAUGCACAGGCUGUGAACUCGAAGAGUAGGGCGGGACACGUGGUAUCCUGUCUGAAUAUGGGGGGACCAUCCUCCAAGGCUAAAUACUCCUGACUGACCGAUAGUGAACCAGUACCGUGAGGGAAAGGCGAAAAGAACCCCGGCGAGGGGAGUGAAAAAGAACCUGAAACCGUGUACGUACAAGCAGUGGGAGCACCUUCGGGUGUGACUGCGUACCUUUUGUAUAAUGGGUCAGCGACUUAUAUUCUGUAGCAAGGUUAACCGUAUAGGGGAGCCGCAGGGAAACCGAGUCUUAACUGGGCGUUAAGUUGCAGGGUAUAGACCCGAAACCCGGUGAUCUAGCCAUGGGCAGGUUGAAGGUUGGGUAACACUAACUGGAGGACCGAACCGACUAAUGUUGAAAAAUUAGCGGAUGACUUGUGGCUGGGGGUGAAAGGCCAAUCAAACCGGGAGAUAGCUGGUUCUCCCCGAAAGCUAUUUAGGUAGCGCCUCGUGAACUCAUCUUCGGGGGUAGAGCACUGUUUCGGCUAGGGGGUCAUCCCGACUUACCAACCCGAUGCAAACUACGAAUACCGAAGAAUGUUAUCACGGGAGACACACGGCGGGUGCUAACGUCCGUCGUGAAGAGGGAAACAACCCAGACCGCCAGCUAAGGUCCCAAAGUCAUGGUUAAGUGGGAAACGAUGUGGGAAGGCACAGACAGCCAGGAUGUUGGCUUAGAAGCAGCCAUCAUUUAAAGAAAGCGUAAUAGCUCACUGGUCGAGUCGGCCUGCGCGGAAGAUGUAACGGGGCUAAACCAUGCACCGAAGCUGCGGCAGCGACACUAUGUGUUGUUGGGUAGGGGAGCGUUCUGUAAGCCUGCGAAGGUGUGCUGUGAGGCAUGCUGGAGGUAUCAGAAGUGCGAAUGCUGACAUAAGUAACGAUAAAGCGGGUGAAAAGCCCGCUCGCCGGAAGACCAAGGGUUCCUGUCCAACGUUAAUCGGGGCAGGGUGAGUCGACCCCUAAGGCGAGGCCGAAAGGCGUAGUCGAUGGGAAACAGGUUAAUAUUCCUGUACUUGGUGUUACUGCGAAGGGGGGACGGAGAAGGCUAUGUUAGCCGGGCGACGGUUGUCCCGGUUUAAGCAUGUAGGCUGAUUGUCCAGGCAAAUCCGGAUAAUCAAGGCUGAGGUGUGAUGACGAGGCACUACGGUGCUGAAGUAACAAAUGCCCUGCUUCCAGGAAAAGCCUCUAAGCAUCAGGUAACAUUAAAUCGUACCCCAAACCGACACAGGUGGUCAGGUAGAGAAUACCAAGGCGCUUGAGAGAACUCGGGUGAAGGAACUAGGCAAAAUGGUGCCGUAACUUCGGGAGAAGGCACGCUGGUGUGUAGGUGAAGUCCCUGCGGAUGGAGCUGAGACCAGUCGAAGAUACCAGCUGGCUGCAACUGUUUAUUAAAAACACAGCACUGUGCAAACACGAAAGUGGACGUAUACGGUGUGACGCCUGCCCGGUGCCGGAAGGUUAAUUGAUGGGGUUAUCCGUAAGGAGAAGCUCUUGAUCGAAGCCCCGGUAAACGGCGGCCGUAACUAUAACGGUCCUAAGGUAGCGAAAUUCCUUGUCGGGUAAGUUCCGACCUGCACGAAUGGCGUAAUGAUGGCCAGGCUGUCUCCACCCGAGACUCAGUGAAAUUGAACUCGCUGUGAAGAUGCAGUGUACCCGCGGCAAGACGGAAAGACCCCGUGAACCUUUACUAUAGCUUGACACUGAACAUUGAGCCUUGAUGUGUAGGAUAGGUGGGAGGCUUUGAAGCGUGGACGCCAGUCUGCGUGGAGCCAACCUUGAAAUACCACCCUUUAAUGUUUGAUGUUCUAACGUUGGCCCCUGACCGGGGUUGCGGACAGUGUCUGGUGGGUAGUUUGACUGGGGCGGUCUCCUCCCAAAGCGUAACGGAGGAGCACGAAGGUUAGCUAAUCCUGGUCGGACAUCAGGAGGUUAGUGCAAUGGCAUAAGCUAGCUUGACUGCGAGCGUGACGGCGCGAGCAGGUGCGAAAGCAGGUCAUAGUGAUCCGGUGGUUCUGAAUGGAAGGGCCAUCGCUCAACGGAUAAAAGGUACUCCGGGGAUAACAGGCUGAUACCGCCCAAGAGUUCAUAUCGACGGCGGUGUUUGGCACCUCGAUGUCGGCUCAUCACAUCCUGGGGCUGAAGUAGGUCCCAAGGGUAUGGCUGUUCGCCAUUUAAAGUGGUACGCGAGCUGGGUUUAGAACGUCGUGAGACAGUUCGGUCCCUAUCUGCCGUGGGCGCUGGAGAAUUGAGGGGGGCUGCUCCUAGUACGAGAGGACCGGAGUGGACGCAUCACUGGUGUUCGGGUUGUCAUGCCAAUGGCACUGCCCGGUAGCUAAAUGCGGAAGAGAUAAGUGCUGAAAGCAUCUAAGCACGAAACUUGCCCCGAGAUGAGUUCUCCCUGAGACUUUAAGUCUCCUGAAGGAACGUUGAAGACGACGACGUUGAUAGGCCGGGUGUGUAAGCGCAGCGAUGCGUUGAGCUAACCGGUACUAAUGAACCGUGAGGCUUAACCUUACAACGCCGAAG